rnacentral:sRNA from 1 species
AAGAAAAAGAAGAAAAACGCAAAGAAGAAAAAAGAAGAGAAAAAGAAGAAGAAAAACAAAA